UGAGGACACUGGCGAUAGAAUAGGAGUAGUCGUACCAGAACUGCUGCUUGGUUGCUGAUGGUGCUGGGAUCUGAGUGUUUCAUUGAGCAUCUUCAACACAAUCUGCUGCUGUAUGGCUGAAGUGGACAUACAUAUCUUUACUGGAUGUGGACAAGGCCAUUUUGCUCAGAAUCCAUUUGAUGUUUUUUUGUUUUCGUUUCUUACUCACAAUCAAGAUGAGGGGAGUGUGGUUGGCAUCUUGGAGGUAUAACCAAAAUUUGGAGUGGUG